UCUCCGUUGGUGAACCAGCGGAGGGAUCAUUACUGGAAUCGCAAGAUCCCACAACCCUGUGAACCUACCGAAACGUUGCCUCGGCGGGUGCCCGGCCCCCGCGCCGGGCGCUGCGCCCGCCGGCGGCCCCCUACGCUGUCUCUGCAGCGUGGCAUCUCAGAGUCCCAGAAAACAAGUCAAAACUUUCAACAACGGAUCUCUUGGCUCUG
rnacentral:misc_RNA from 1 species